rnacentral:lncRNA from 1 species
CUUUUACUCCCCCUCCCUCCCAAGUAGCAGUCAGCCUGUUCCCUCACAGAGCUGGUGCUCUAGACGAAGGUAGUGCCAGCUCUGCUCACUCAUACACCGAUGGCCCCUCUCCCUGCUGUUUUAAGUGUCAUGGAAGGGGGUUUCCUUGAUGUCCGGCACUGUGUGGGUCAGAAUGAGCGCCGUAUAGUUACGUCACACCAAAGCAGAAGUGGAGGGGGUGGGGAGUCACCUGCUAGUUUAAUAUGCGUGCAGAUCCUUAUGGAGCCGCACGCAGCUUGCAAGGAAGAAUGUGUCUGGAUGCGGCUUAAAAUGUCGCCUAGGGCCAGAUCUAUUGCUCACUGACACACACAUGCUCACUUUAGACAAGCUCACUAACACACAUGCUUACUAAACAAGCUCACACACAUGCUCACUACAGACAAGCUGACCAAUACAUACACGCUUCCUACAGACAAGCUCACGAGCACACAUGUUCACUAUAGAAAAACAAUGGUCAUGGCAAUGGUGGGAUCUAAAGUGCAUGUGUAAUGGUUGCCAUGAGUAAAAGUAGCUUUACAAAUCUUUACUUACAUUUAAAGAGACCCUGUCAUUCUUUUCAUCAUGUUUACUUUUCUAAUGUCUCUAUAUCUAAUUGAUUACACUCCCCUCGUUGCCACUUGUCCUUAUUUAUGCUCUUCUGUAAGAUUGGUUUUACUGAUAGAUUGUGGAUAAAUUUGAUAGGCAAAUGAAAUAGAACCUUUACUGAGAAAACAAUUCCCACACUCACUACAUGGGUUGUUACAGCUGCUAUACAUCAUAAGCAUGCACAUGGGGUGUGCCCAGGCAUUCCCUACUGCACCCAAUGUGCCAGUUGCUCCCAGCACUACACCACCAAUGGCAAGACAUCCCCGCAACCCUUUUUUUCCCUUUAGAUAGUGCUGGUCGAUUUCAUAUGCUACUUAGCUUACUGUUGGUGGUAUAGUACAGCUAUAAAGGCAGGUGCUGUGUCUGCCUCAUACUACCCUCUAUGGUAUUCAUUUCUCAAGCAGAGAUUAUAAGUGGGCAUGAGAAUGUGACAUGACAUCCUUUCAACUUCCCAUUAGGCUCUGCUCACUGAAAGAAUACUGAGCAGACAGAAGGAAAAUGGAUCCCAUGCUUCUUCUCCGCCACUUGAUAAGCAGCAGUGUUUUAAGUAGUCAAUUAGUAUUGGCAAUAUUCUUCCCAUCUAAUCUCAUGCUUUUAAAAAUAAAUCAAUCAAUCAGGAUUUCUUUUAAUAAAAUAUUUUUGGGAAUUAACAUCUGGCUAAAUAUAGUUUUCUAUUUAAAAUGCAUUAUAUUCAUAAUUGAAAUUUGAUCUUACCGAUUAGUGAUUUAAGUCAAAUUCUCCCUAGUUAGAUGCCUCCACAUUCUCACUCAACUUUUCUUUUUUUUAUGAUACAGAUUGAGAAUUACAUACACUUUUAUGUUAAUAAGCUUGGUUACAUUUAUUAGUCAUAAUUUUUAUAAGCAAUAUAUAUUGAGUGUGGGACAGCCUUCACCUCAAAGAUUGCUGGCUUAGAAUCACUAACAGACCAUAACAGGUAACUGAUAACAAGAAGCUAACUGCUAUCUCUACACUUUACUCUUCUAUACAUUUCUAGUACAGUUUCCUAUUUUAUUUUAUAGAUGUAAACACUUUUAAUGUGAAGUUAUUAUUUUACACAUACAGCUUUUUACAAGAAAUGAAUUGGUCACAUGGUCUGGCAGCCAUAUCAGGCUGUAUGAAAAUAUUAUAAACAUUGUCUUCUCUGAAAUUGAUGGAAGGAAUGAAUAGAAAUUUUGCACAUGUCCUUGGCAAGGUCCUCCAAUAUGAUUGAUGAAAGAGAGUUAAUACCAAACUCCACUGUCAUGCAAUUAUUACAUUUGUAUUUCCACCACUAUGAAUCUAAGUGAGUAUUAAACUCAUAUGUUUAUGAGUGCCAGAGGAAAUGGUAACAGUGUGGCUUCCAUUUUGAAAUGUAAACAAAAUGUAAAACGAAUGACACUUUAGAAUUGUACAGGUUUAAUGGCGAGCUGAUGAAUAAGAAUUAAGCUGUUUCUUUGCCGCAUGCUGUGGCAGCCAUUUUGGUUUAGGGGAUUCUUUUUUCAUCUACAAAAAUCUUCUGUGAUGUUGGUUAUGAAACACAUGAAAAUAUAUGUGUUGAACUAUGUUAUGAUUUGUAUUCACAUUUGUUCAAGAGAAGUCUUUGAUGUAGUAAAGAACCAGUUUUGGUUGGCUAAAAAUAUUAAAAUACACAUGACUGUACAAACUCAAUUAUCUCCAGGUACACAAAAACACACAAUUUUACAACACCCCAAAACAGAUAUAAUAUAACCCGGUACUCACUCAAGAUUUAUAUCCCUGGAUAGCCUUGAUCUGCGUGACCAUGAUAUCCAAAGUCACUCAAUCGAUUUGGUGGUUAAAAUUUUCCUUGGAAGUAAACCUUUGACCAACCGCACGGAUUGCUUCUGCCCAAAAUAAUUCCAUAAGAAAAGUGGUAGCAGCUGGUCAAUUUCAGGAGUUUAAAACAGAACAAAAUCCAGAACUGACCCUCUGGCUCCUAGGUAGUGAUAAUUUGCCUUGUUCAUGCGAACAAACCUACUGAACAGUGGUCUCCUGACAUGUUUGGAAUAGAAGUAGGUGUUCAACAAAGUUCAGUGGUGUUCGGGAGUUUAAGUGUCCGAUUUUAGUUCCAUGAACUCAACGACCAAACACCCAUUGUCUGCUUAAGCUUAAAAGUGACUACAACAGUGUUCACAUUCAGUACACAACAUUUCUAGUCUGUGUGAGAUCUCUGAUGUUUAAAGCAUUUCUCACAUUCGAAACAUGAGAAAGAUUUUUCUCCUGUCUGAGUUCUUUGAUGAACAACCCGGUCUAAGUACUGCCUAGAACAUUUCCCACAUGCAGGACAUGAAAAAGGUUUUUCUCUUGUGUGAGUUCUCUGGUGACUAACAAGAUGAGCGUACUGGCUAAAACAUUUCCCACAUUCAGGACAUGAAAAAGGUUUUUCUCCUGUGUGAGUUCUCUGAUGUCUCUUAAGAUCUGAUUUACAGAUAAAACUAUUCCCACACUCACUACAUGAGAAAGGUUUAUCUCCUGUGUGAGUUCUUUGAUGUCUCUUAAGCUCUGAUUUACUGAGAAAACAAUUCCCACACUCACUACAUGAGAAAGGUUUCUCUCCUGUGUGAAUUUUUUGGUGACCAACAAGAUGUGACUCCCGGCUAAAACAUUUCCCACAUUCAGGACAUGAAAAAGGUUUUUCUCCUGUGUGAGUUCUCUGAUGUUUCUUAAGAUCUGAUUUACUGAGAAAACAAUUCCCACACUCACUACACGAGAAAGGUUUCUCUCCUGUGUGAGUUCUCUGAUGUCUCCCCAGAGCUUGUUUACUAAGAAAACAAUUCCCACACUCACUACAUGAGAAAGGUUUCUCUCCUGUGUGAGUUCUCUGAUGAACAACAAGGCUUGAGUUAUAGCUAAAACAUUUCCCACAUUCGGGACACGAAAAAGGUUUUUCUCCUGUGUGAGUUCUCAGAUGUUUCUUAAGAUUUGAUUUACUGAGAAAACAAUUCCCACACUCACUACAUGAGAAAGGUUUCUCUCCUGUAUGAGUUCUCUGAUGUCUCUUAAGAUCUGAUUUACUGAGAAAACAAUUCCCACACUCACUACAUGAGAAAGGUUUCUCUCCUGUGUGAGUUCUCUGAUGAACAAUAAGGCCUGAGUGAUAGCUAAAACAUUUCCCACAUUCAGAGCAUUGACAUGGUUUUGGUUUUUUAUUUAUUAUCCAAUUUCUAGACGUACAGGAUUCCAAGAGGUUCCUUGAUUUUUGAGAGUUAGUAUCCUUGGUACUUUUAUUAAAAAAGUUCUUCAUAAUCUUGAUUAGUGUAUUUCUGUUCCUGUCACAUUCCUUCAAGAUUUCUGCUGCUGGAAAUAUCUGAAAGAAAUGUACUGUGAUUUAAAGAAAACCUGUUACUAUAAAUCAUUGUUUGUUUACAAUAUUUGGAAAAACUGACACCAUUUUCCUGAAAGAUCUGAAAUCUGACUAUGAAGCUUCAUACUGAUUGAGAAGGAC